CUAUAUACAAGCCUAAGUUCGUUAUUUAACAAGAGGAAGGGACUAGGCAUCAUUUCGGGAGUUUACCGCCCAAGAACACCUUGGGGAGUAAACUCCUAAAUCUAGUUGUUUUGAUAUGUAAUCUAUGUUAUAAACAUAUUAUAAGCUAUAUAACACAACUAGAGAGAGAUACUCACGAUUUGGGAUGAAAACCCGAAGAUCCGUGAGAGAGAAAAUGGCUUUUCUCUAGUUGUAAAUGUAAAUAAUGAAUGAAAUUGGUUCAGAAUUCUAUUUAUAGUCCUGAGAUUUUUGGCAGAAAAUAUUUUAUUCCCAAAAUGAUCUCUAAUAUAAUAGAGUGUUGGAAUAACAGUGUUGCACAAAACCCUAGUGCAUCCACUCUCCUGAUAUCUCCUGAAGUGUAAACCCUGAAUUACUCAAACUUAUACGGAAAAGUCUAAAAAUUUACUGUGACUGUUAUAACUUCUAUUGAAGUGAUAUUGUUUGUACAUAAUAGAAUUUCGGGUUGUCAAAUCAUCCCACCAUUAGAAGGAAUUUCGUCCUAAAAUUAGAAUUUAAGCAAAUAAGAAGUUACACAUAACUAAGCGAAAAGAUGAGGGUAUUUCAGUUUCAUCUGAUCCUCUCGUUCCCAAGUGAAUUCUGGUCCACGCUUUGCGUUCCAGCGAACCUUCACUAUUGGGAUACGGCUCUGCUUUGUUUGCUUGACCUCUCGGUCCAUGAUCUCUACUGGUUCCUCCACGAAGUUGAGGCUCUCGUUGAUCUCGAUCUCGUCGAGUGGAAUAACAAGAGUCUCGUCGGACAGACACUUUUUCAAGUUCGAGACGUGGAAGGUAGGAUGUACGUUACUGAGUUCGUGCGGUAGAUUGAGUUUGUAAGCUACAGGGCCGAUUCUCGCGAGAAUCUCGAAAGGCCCUAUGUAUCUUGGAUUGAGCUUCCCACGCUUUCCAAAGCGUAUCAAGCCCUUCCAGGGUGAGACCUUCAGUAGGACUCGGUCGCCCACCUGGAACUCCAAUGGUUUCCUACGCUUGUCGGCGUAGCUUUUCUGUCGGUCUCUAGAGGCUUUUAAUCGUUCACGAAUUUGAACGAUCUUCUCUGUCGUUUCCCGAAUGAUCUCCGGACCCGUGAGAGUGCUUUCGGGAACUCGUCCCUUAGCUAACUGGGUAUCACCCACUUCAGCCCAGCACAGAGGGGAUCUGCACUUUCGGCCAUAGAGGGCCUCGAAUGGAGCUGCCUUUAUGCUCGUAUGAUAACUGUUGUUGUAGGAAAAUUCAACAAGGGGUAAAUGAGUAUCCCAAGCUUUUCCAAAGUCAAUCACACAGGCACGCAACAUAUCUUCUAAGGUUUGGAUAGUUCUCUCACUUUGCCCGUCGGUCUGUGGAUGGUAGGCUGUACUCAUGUCCAGCCUAGUUCCUAGGGAACUUUGUAAUGACUGCCAGAACCUCGAAGUGAAUCUACUAUCUCGGUCUGAGAUGAUAGAUAAAGGAACACCGUGCAGCCUUACAAUCUCCCUAAUGUAAGUUCUGGUAAGUUUCUCCAUCUUGUCUGUUUCUUUGAUCGGUAGGAAGUGUGCAGACUUGGUCAGUCUAUCGACGAUGACCCAUAUGGAAUCAAGUCCACCCGUCGUCUUGGGCAACUUGGUUAUGAAGUCCAUAGUGAUCCGCUCCCACUUCCAUUCUGGUAUCUCCGGUUGUUGUAGAAGACCGGAGGGUUUCUGGUAUUCGACCUUGACCUUUGCGCAAGUAAGGCAUUUACUCACGAAGGUAGCAAUAUCUGCUUUCAUGUUAGGCCACCAGUAUAACUUUUUAAGAUCCAGAUACAUCUUAUCUGAACCCGGGUGGAUGGAAUAACGUGUGUUGUGAGCUUCCUUCAUGACCAAGUCUCUGAAGCCAUCGUGUUUCGGUGUCCAGAUCCGAUCCAUGAGGUAUAAAGCUCCACCACCCUUGAAUUCCAAGUUCUUAUCCAUCCCAAUAAAGGAUUCACCAGCCAUGUUUUUAGGUUUCAAAGCGUCGAGAUGAGCCUCCUUAAUUUGCGUGGACAAGUGUGAAUGGAUAAUUAGAGUCAAAGAUUUGACUCUACGACCAGCAUAUUCUUUCCGACUUAGGGCGUCGGCUACUACAUUGGCUUUACCCGGAUGAUAACGAAUUUCGCAUUCGUAAUCACUAAGUAGCUCGACCCACCGUCGUUGUCUCAUGUUGAGCUCUUUCUGGUCGAANGGGUGAUAACGAAUAUCGCACUCGUAAUCACUGAGUAGCUCGACCCACCGUCGUUGUCUCAUGUUGAGCUCCUUCUGGUUGAAAAUGUGUUGUAGAAUCUUGUGGUCUGUAAAGAUCGUGCUUUUUGUACCAUACAGGUAGUGUCUCCAGAUCUUCAGAGCAAACACAACUGCUCCUAGCUCAAGAUCAUGGGUGGUGUAGUUAACCUCAUGUGUCUUCAACUGUCUCGAGGCAUAGGCUAUGACUUUACUUCGCUGCAUCAGAACACAUCCGAGUCCUUGAUUGGAUGCAUCGCAAUAGACAACGAAGUCUUCUAUCCCUUCGGGGAGGGAUAGUAUCGGUGCGGUGCACAAGGCUCGCUUGAACGUUUGGAACGCUCUUUCUUGUUUCUCUUCCCAGUCAAAGGCUACACCCUUCUGGGUCAGUGUUGUAAGAGGUUUCGCUAUACGGGAGAAGUUCUGAAUGAACUUGCGAUAGUAGCCAGCUAGACCUAGAAAUUGACGAAUUUCUGUAGGUGUCUUCGGUGCUGACCAGUUCUCAAUGGCUUUGAUUUUGGAAGGGUCCACGUGUAUUCCUUCUUCGCUAACAACAUGGUCCAAAAAUUCGACUUGUCAGAUCCAAAAUUCGCACUUGGAGAACUUCGCAUAAAGCUUCUCCGACUGUAAUGUUUCUAAGACUCUAUGGAGAUGUUGACUAUGUUCCUCCUUACUUCGAGAGUAGAUGAGUAUGUCAUCGAUGUAGACGAUGACCAACUGAUCCAAGUAAGGACGACACACCCUAUUCAUCAGAUCCAUGAAUACUGCGGGCGCGUUGGUUAAUUCGAACGGCAUCACUACAAACUCGUAGUGUCCAUAACGAGUUCGGAAGGCUAUCUUGGGAACAUCGUCCUCUAACACUCGUAGUUGGCGAUAUCCGGAUCAUAGAUAUAUCUUCGAGAAGUAGUUGGCUCCUUGAAGUUGAUCAAAUAAAUCGUCAAUGUGGGGCAAAGGAUAACGAUUUUUAAUGGUAAGCUUGUUGAGUUCUCUAUAGUCGAUGCACAUGCGAAACGAUCCAUCUUUCUUCUUGACGAACAAGACCGGUGCUCCCCAAGGUGAGAAGCUUGGUCUAAUGAAUCCCUUGUUGAGAAGUUCGUUAAGUUGACUGGAAAUUUCCUGCAUCUCGGCCGGUGCCAGAUGAUAAGGAGAUUUGGCUACGGGGGUAGCUCCUGGCACUAAGUCGAUUCUGAACUCGACUUGGCGUUGUGGUGGUAAACCGGGAAGUUCUUCUGGGAAGAUUUCGGGAAUGUCGCGUACUUCUGGGAUGUUCUGAAUUUCUUUCAUUUCUUGACUUGUAUUGACGACGUGUGCGAGGAAUGCAUGGUAUUCCUUUCGCAAGCACUUCUGGGCUUGAAUGCACGAAAUGAUGCGAAGGCUCGUACUAGGUUUGUCGCCAUAGAUAACUAAGGUUUCGUUGUUAGGAAGGUUAAGACGGACUGCUUUUUCAAAGCACAUGAUGUCGGCGCGAAGAAGACUCAACCAAUCCAUGCCGAUGAUAACGUCGAAACAUUUAAUUGGGACCGACAUGAGGUCUAUCUUGAAAGUAUGUCCAUCUAAAGUUAAAGUACAACCUACGUAUAUGCAGUUAGUACUCUCCGUUUUCCCGUUAGCCAUUUCUACUAUGAAUGGAUUAUCUAAUGCACAAGGUUUUUGUUUAAGCAGGUGAGCAAAUUUGUGACUUAAGAAACUUUUCUCUGCUCCACUGUCGAAAAGUAUGCAAGCAUAUGAGUUAUCGAGGAGAAUCGUACCAGUAACUAUCGUAGGAUCAGCUACCGCUUCCUCGUGGCCUAGGGCCAUAACUCUUCCUACUCCUCCGGCCAUCCCCACUUUAGGGCAGUUCCUCUUGUAGUGGCCCACCUCGCCACAACCAUAGCAAGCUUGGCCCAUACCGACGUUAGGAACCUGGGCGGCCUGAGUUGUUGGAGUCUGGCAGAAACGAACUGUGUGCCCCUUCCUGUUGCAGUUAGUGCACUGCAUCUCCCUGCAAGGUCCGCGGUGGUGGAAGCUGCAUUUGUUGCACUUCGGGAGAGUUCCAGCAUAAGUUUUUGUUGGUAAGGGGUUUGCAGGGACAACGGGAGUCACUGUGGCAGCAUUGAUUGCCACAAGUUGUUGUUUCUUGGAGGAUUCUUGCGAAGCCCCUCUUUUCCUCUUAGUCCACCCCUUCUUGUUGUUGUUGACCUUUUGUGGUACAGGUGCAGGGAUUGUUGGGUUCUGAGGUUUCCGGUGAUCUAUGAGAGAUAGUGCCAGUUCCUUGGCACUAUCAAAAGUUAUAGGACUGGAAGCUAACACACUUGCCUGGAUCUGGGGCGACAGUCCCCAGAUAUCUCUCUCUAUCUUCUUGCUGUCGAGAGCAACCAUAUCAGGGCAUAGGUUUGCCAGAUCACAAAACCUAUUUGUGUAGGUUGUGAUGUCGAAUCCAACCAUUUGUAGACCCCAGAGUUCCUUCUCGAGUUCUUGUACUUCACCUCGAGGAUAGUACUCUUUCAUCAGCAUGUCCUUCAAUUUCUCCCAGCUGAUGGAAUACGCCACCACCAAAGUCAGAUACUUAACAUGGCCAUUCCACCAUGUUAAUGCUCUGUUAGAGAAGUUACAAGCUGCAAACUUGACCUUGUUGCCCUCCUGGCAAGCGCAGAUUUCAAAGACAGAUUCCAUCUUUUCAAUCCAUUACCUUAACACCAUAACCCCACCAGUACCAUUGAAGCUGCGGGGCUUGGUGUUCGUGAAGUCCUUAUAGGUGUAUUCCCGAGGGUGUCCAUGGCNGGCUUUCGCCAUGGUUCGAGGGAUGUGCACCUGUUCUCGAUCCACUAGGGACAGGAGCGUUGAUUGCUGACACAGCAGCUGCAAUUGCUGCUGUGAAAGCUGCUUGGAACAUAUUGGCAUCGAAAGGAGUAGGUGGUUGAAGAGGUUGAGGUGGUGGUAUCGGUGCUUCGUUGUUUGGGUUACGCCUAGGAUUUCUGUGAGGCGGCAUCUUUAACUAUACGUUUAAAAGAUGACGACAUGGAUAAGAAUAAAUGAAUAAUGAAUGUGUCUCAUGGACUAACUCCCCAUAGACCAACAACAAAAUGAAUAGAAUGACUACAUGAAGAUGACAGCAUUUGGAUAAUAAUAUCCAUAUGAUUAGAUAUCUGUCAAUAAUACUGGAAUUACAGAUGUAAUAAGUUCGGGAAAAAUGGCCUAGAAGUAGGCCUUACAUCAACCAAGAUAGGAAAAUUUUUGACAGAACUAAGACUAGAUCAAGACCUAACAUGUCUAAGAUUUAUAAAGAUAGGAAAUUAGACCAAAGUUUUUACAUAAACUAGGUUAUAUCCGAAAGAUGAGUCGUCGAGAGUCUAUCGGCAACGAGAACUGCUAGCAUGAGUUCUUGAUCCUGACAGUAGGCGUUCUAUGUCCCUUAUACGCCUGUCAUCUCUCAUUUGCUGAGCUCGAAGUUCUCUAACUUCAGCUUGAGUUUCAGCAAGUUCUCUAUGCAGAUUUGCAUUGCGGACCAGAGUCCUUUCAUGAGCAGACUCCAGUUGGCGAAUGUGGACAGUGUUAACGCCAGAGUUGGCUUCAAUCUCCACGACUUGGUUGAUAGUUGCUUGACCCAGUAUCGUGUUUCUAGAAAUUCUACGAACCAUGAUGGUAGGACUCUGUCAGCAGAACCUCCUUCAGUGAGGUUGUAGAAACUUCGGUCGCCAUUGUAGGGAAUGGGCUGACCUUGUUCCUGGCUCCACGUAUUCAAGUUCGUGGCCCACAGAGGUGUGGGUCCUUGAAAUGUGGGACGGGGGUUUAGGUUUGGGUCUUGAGCAGCUGGGGGUAGGUUGUUGACUUCAGGCUCCGAGUCAGAACUAUCAGAAAAACCCUCAGCAUGGUGAUCAUCCAAAGGGAUUGGGUGAUCAUCUUCUGGUUCUGCCUCUAGCCAACCAACAUUACCUUGGUUCGGGAGGUACGGAUCGCCAUGGUGAAAUCCAGCCAUUAAAAUCUAUGCGAGAAAAGGGGAUAUAAGAAAUAGCUAAAUAGACGAACUGACUAAGAUAAUUACAAUAAGACCAAAUACCCCUAUGGUAUUUCUUUAUGGUUGUGUUUGUAAGUUUUUAGACUUGUUGCCACAUCACAACCAUUCUUGGGCAUAUGCUAAUCACUCCUUGGACCAACAUAGUUGAUCAGGCUAUGCCAUUCCCAAGACUGACCAUAUAUCCCCAGGCUUACUUGUGAUAUUCAACAAUCGUAAUACUUUUGUUCUUGUCAUUGUGACACUGAUUUUAGUAUGAAUGCAGGCACGUAUACUUACUUAAAUAUUUUAUUAUUUAAAAGUAUAACUCUUAGACAGAGUGUUUUAAUCCCAAUGUAUUUAUAGUUAGUAUAUCUUUUAUGGGUUGAUAUACUAUAUUCACUAUAAACAAUGCUCUGAUACCAAUCUGUCACACCCCAAAACCAAGAACGGCGGAAACGUUCCGGGGUGGAGGACGUCAUGUACAGUAUCACAACAGUGUAAAAUAGUAAACAAGCAACAACAUCAUCCAUUGCAUUAUAAGUAAAGUUUUAAUACAUGUGUGUUCUUUCAUUGUAAUAAGACACCAAAAAUAUACAAUCAAAAUAAAAGACGAGACUUGUUUGUGCUCCGUCUUCUCAAAACCUGGCCAUCGUACCUGUCUACUGGUGACCUGAGAAUACAAGUUAUUUUGAAAGAGAGCAUCAGCUUAAAGCUGGUGAAUUCAUAAGUAUUUAAGUGUCAUUGUCUUGCUUUGAAAAGCUGUUUUGAAUGUCAUNUGAAAAGCUGUUAUGAAUGCCAUGUAAACCUUUAAAUGAAACAGUUGAUAUAAGUAUGAAAAGCCCUAGAAAAUCCCUUGUUUUCUAUCAGUAUGAAAUGUAGUCUUCAAACAAGACCCGAAUGUUUUGUAAGUAAAAUGAUAGUUUUUCCUUUCUAUUGACUAGGACUAAAAGUACUUAGUCUAACUCCUCGUUUAUGUGAAUGUAUCACAAAAUAAAGUAAUAGGAAAAUAUACUAAUGUAAUUGUUAUCCUUUGGUACUAGGACUAACACNCGUAGUAAGCGAAAUGUAUAACCUAAUGAACAUCCGAAGAUUGUCCAAUUAUCCUCUGUAGCAGCAGCAGGGGGAAGGAAAGGUUAGUCCCGUAAUCAAUGUUCCUAGUAUAAGUAUUAACCGUAGACCUCCGUAGAUGGUCAUAAUUCUUGGAAAGGUUUAGGGCACAUAUACACUCCUUUGAGGAGUUUACAGCCCCAAGCCAAAUUCCUUUGGAGUUUACUGCCGUAAACUCACUUGGAAGGGGUGUUUUUAUGCUUUCAAGUCCCAUGCACAUGUAGGAUAGGUUCUAGACAUUUAUCUAAGGCUAAUGAAGGCCUUAGUCACACUUUGGUGCCCUUGAUUGAUGUUCACGGCCCAAGAACCUUAUUAGGGCCGUAAACUCACUUUGGGAAGGGUUUUUGAUGUGUUAAAGUGCUUAAAUUAACUAGGAGUAAACCUAGGUAAUUGUCCAAGACUUUAGGAGUGUUAAAAGCACUCUUUGGUCUAUGUUUUUGGAGUUCACGGUCCAAGAACUUCGUGGGCCGUGAACACCUAAACUUUGGUGUUUCUUUGAUGUUUUCUUGUCUUAAAUACACCUAUAUAUAAGCCUAAGUUCGUUAUUUAAUAAGAGGAAGGGACUAGGCAUCAUUUCGAGAGUUUACCGCCCAAGAACACCUUGGGGAGUAAACUCCUAAAUCUAGUUGUUUUGCUAUGUAAUCUAUGUUAUAAACACAUUAUAAGCUAUAUAACACAACUAGAGAGAGAUACUCACGAUUUAGGAUGAAAACCCGAAGAUCCGUGAGAGAGAAAAUGGCUUUUCUCUAGUUGUAAAUGUAAAUAAUGAAUGAAAUUGGUUCAGAAUUCUAUUUAUAGUCCUGAGAUUUUUGGGAGAAAAUAUUUAAUUCCCGAAAUGAUCUCUAAUAUAAUAGAGUGUUGAAAUAACAAUGUUGCACAA
rnacentral:lncRNA from 1 species